GACAACAACUAACGAGCAAUCGAUCGGCGCGACGGUAACCCGAUAACCCGGUGACCCGACGAGAAAAUCGACCGUGUGGGAGAGACGCUCGAUGAGUAAGGCGUGUCCGAAGUAACGGAGGGGAGCAACGGCAGCACAUCGGCUGGCAAUUCGUUCGCCGAUUCGAUGAGCAGCGAAUCCGGAGAUGAUCGUAAGACGACACGUGCAGGCGUAAGGUUUUUGCGAGAGGUGCUUGAGGGACGAGGACGGAGAGACGCCGCGAAACCGGUCGGACAAAGACAUCACGGGAUAAUGGUGGGUACGACGCAAAGCGCCUACGCAAAAAGACUUGGAAAUAACGUCCCGCCCCAUCUCGACGAUAUCUGCGCGGCAGAUGCAGCAAUCGGUGGCCAUAAAAGGGGGAAGAAGAGAACGUCUGUUGUGUGUUGCGCGCGCGAAAGGCGGGAAAGAAGUGUGAGUACGCUCGGCGAUUCGUGCAAAACCGUGCAUUAGCCUGCAGCCGAAAAAUUUGCACGAGCGCAGCGAAAUCGAAGAUAAUAAAUACGCGAUUUCAAACUGUACGAGGCGUGGGAGAGAAAACAAUGAUCGGCGAGUCGCGCAACGUUCUUCGGCGCCCGGGAAGCGUCGCCGCUUUAAUUCUUCGGGAGAGUUAAAUCCGGAAUUUUAAGAAUUCGCGCGAAUCCCGGCUCGGUCCGGGCUCGGACCGUAAGUCGCUUCUC
rnacentral:lncRNA from 1 species